rnacentral:lncRNA from 7 species
AGUGCCAUUUUUGCUAAUACUGUAUUCAUGCAUGCAGCUUGCUGUUUGUAGGGUUUAUGAGUAACACAAAAGUGACUGUCCAGAGACCUCAGCCAGGUUGUGGCUGUUCUUCUCAGAGAUGUGCCAGAAGAAAGAAUAGCCUCUCUGUCUGGUCUUCCUAGCUCUUUUAAAGAAAAUUGCACAUAAAGUGGAAAGAAGACAAAUUGGAGAAUGGCACUUCUCAGAGCAACAACUGAAAUGAAGGCCUUGAUUCACAAAACAGAACUUCUUCCCAGCUUCAUCCAACAGCACAGUGGUGCCAGUACUUUGACUGGAGGAGAGGUAUGACAUGUAUCUCUAAGAACAGAACCAUCAAAAAUUCCAUAAGAGCAAACUGGCCUCGGAGAAAAUUAGAAGGGAAAGUUUCUGGAAAAAAAAAAAAAAAAAGAAGAAGAAGAAGAAGAAGAAGAAAAAUAGUACCUGAAAAAGCUGAGAAAGAUAUCCAGAGUAAUUCUGUAUAUAGGCCUAUGAAUCAUCUAGUUCAAGCUGUUGAUCUGAUCAAAGAGUUUCUAAAUAUCUGAACUUCUUACUACUUAUGCUUGUUAUUCUUCUAUUUUGGUGGGGUUCUUUCUACAGUUUUUAAUGCCUUAGAAUAGUGGUUUAUUUUCUUUCCCUAUGAAGAAGAACAGAAUCUUGAAACACUAGGAAGUAUUGGAAUGGACUGUUGCAUAUAAUUUAGCAGCAAGAUCUUUUGCUUUCCAUUAUUAUUACUUUAAUGAGAAUCCGUGGUAGAGUUCAGGCUUUUUGCUGCAGAGCCCUUGAGUUUAGAGUGGACUCAGCUCUGUCUGAAUCCAGUGCAAUUCAGCUGUUUUCCUGUUCUUCUAAGUAGUGUGUUGGAUAAGUUGUCGUGUGCAGUUGUAUAUUAUCUGAUUGGUUUUAUCUUAUUUAUUUCUAUAUAUGUGCAUGUAGAAAUACAUACAUGGGGGGGCAAUAUGGAAGAAAAUGGCUAUAUACAUGGCUCAUGUUUUGUAAAUCUUUUGUUAUUUUUUUGCCUGGAGGUUUUGAUUUUUAGCUAUUGUCUUUUUUUUCCCCUGCGAUUCUGGGGACUGUAGAACAUGUUUAUACUUGAGAUUUGCUAACUGGCCAGUGGACAACUUACAUCUUACUGAAACUUGGAAUUGAAACUAGAGAAACUAGAGAAACAAAAGUGGGGAAUUGCUUUAGUAAAACCACUGUGAUACAAUAAACUAUUUUG